UUUGUUGAAGGUUUACAUUUGUGUUAACAGUCUGAGUCGUGUUAUUAAGGUCUCUCUGAAGCAUACGUGGUUCUGGCUCCUGCGCUGAACAGUGACUCCGAGGAGGCAGUGGAGAGCCUGUAGUUCAAAUCUGAGGGUUGUGGAUACUUUGGGGACAGCAAAGGCAUGAAAGCUCAUCCCAAAUGGCUGAGAUGGGGCAGAAUCGAUGAACCAGUGAACUUCACUGGUCACCUUUCUGUCCUGAAGCCUUUCGGGUGAGAUUAUGCAUAGCAGACCAAAAUAACCGGAGUAGAAAGGCCAGGUAAAGGAUUUGGGGCUUGUAGUGUUUGUGUCAUCAGCCAUUAACCUAAAGGCGAAUGUCACAGAAUCGGUAGGGUUGGAAGGGACCUCUGGAGAUCAUCCAGUCCAAUCCCCCUGCCAAGGCAGGGUUACUUACAGCAGGUUAUACAGGAACGUGUCCAGGUGGGUUUUGAAUGUCUCCAGAGAGGGAGAACCAAACUUCCCUGGGCAGCCUGGUCCAGUGUUCUGCCACCCUCAAUGUAAAGAAGUUCUUCAUGAUGUUGAGGGGGAACUUCUUGAGCUUCAGUUUAUGGCCAUUGCUCGUCCUCCUGUCGCUAGGCACCACUGAAAGGAGGCUGGCACCAUCCUCUUGGCACCCACCUUUGAGAAUGCUGUUGAGAUUCCCUCUCAUCCUACUAUGUCAUAUGAUUGGGAAUUCAGUUUAUAGUAGUUUUCUUGUCUGUUUCAUUGGUUAGGCUUUCAUUAGAGACACAGAUGUUUCUAGACACUCUAGCCCAAAUAUAACCACCAAAGGGAGUCCAGAGGAGAGUGUGCUGACUGUCCAAGCUUCCCUUUGGUGAGCCUAGCAGGGAGUUGAAAUGCUUUUUUGGUGGUUGUUGUUUGAGAUAUGGUAGACAAGGGGAGUUGAAGUAGUAGGGUCUACCUUACAAAAAGAGAGAUGGUAAAAAGGUUGAGCCUGUCAGGGAUCUCUUGGUCACAGAAUGAAAAGAGACUGAUUUUAGCUGCCAGAGAAAAUUCUUGCAAAGUGUCUGGGGACUUGUAGUUGGUUUAGGUUUUGGGGGGUUUUUUUAGAAGUUGUCAUGAUGGAACACACUAGUUUUGAAAGGACUGUAGAACUACUCUUUUUUGGUGUGUUACAGGUGAAAACCUCUCAGUGCAAAGAUACUGCUAAAAGAUAAAAUUCUUUCCACUUGCAGUGAUGACAAAGGUACUGAAUAGCAGUUAGGGAGGAAGAAAACAAAAUCCCUUUAAGCCAGAGGAAGAGAGCUGUGUUUCAGGUAUCAGAAUGCAUGACAACCAAGAUAUUGAUUUCAUAAUUUAAACUUUUAUUCUAUUCCGUAUUACCUUCUGAGCUGUUAUGAUUGUACAGAAAACUUUCCAAAUGAGUCUUAAUAUGACAUUAUACAUGAUAGUUUUGAAAGGCCUCAUCUAAGCAGAGUCAUGCUUGUUUAACUGAAGUCAUGAUGCUAAAUGAAUGCAAUUUUCCUAUCACAUUGGCUUGCACUUACAAAUUGCAGGUGUAAUUAAUAUGAUCUGGUUUAAACCGAUAUAAAUGCGUCUCCAUAAUGUUGUGGUGGUUUAAACUCACCUCACUUCUUUCCUAUAGCUCUCUAGUCUUUCAACAGGCAGCCCUACUGACAAUGCUGAGCUGCACAGAACUCUCUUGAGGAAACUCGUCAGGCAAAUGAAACUGAGGAGACUGGUCCAUUUUGUAGCAAAAUAAUGAAAAUGGAAAGAACUUAAGAGAGUGACAAGGAUGAUCAAAGAUGUUGCUGUGAGUGAAGUCCUGUGUCCCUGCUACCGGCUGUGAACCGCGAUGAGUUGUCAUGUGAGCUUUCUGAGUGCUGCAUUUCAGCUCUGUCCCAGAGGAUUCCCUUCAUGGAAAGGAGAGCUAUAGGGAGGAAGGCUUCGUCGUUGCAACUUAUGAGACACUGUGCUGAGCUUGCCACUAAAAUGAUAAGGCGGUGUGAAGUGCAGGGAUGGGUCAGCUAAGCGAGCUUGGCUCUUUCUUUUCCUGUGGGCUUCCAGUAUGCCUAGGUACGUACCCCAACUAACCUUCUCCUGUAUUAGUUAGUAGGAGGGAAAGCUUUCCAUCCACAGCUAGCUCAGGUGAGCCCCUGCUUUUAGGAUUGCUCUCCUGGAGAGCUGCAUAGGGAAUUAUGCCAAAGCUCAACAGAUUUUCUUGUGCUACCGUUUUACAGACUAUGCUCCCCUGGGAGUUUCCUGAGCAGCCCAGAGAGUAAUCAGUAAAUCCCAGGCAUUAGUCUGAUUUUUCCCUGUGCUUAUUUUCUAUUUCUGCCUUUCCUUUGUCCUGCAGUGAAGAAUUAUUUGGAUGACUGAGCUGCCGAGAGACUUCUGGCUUGCAGGAACUGAUCCCAAAUCCCAAGUGAGGUAGCGGCAUUGUCUGAGGCUUCUAGUGCAAAUGAGCUACCUUCAGGAGGCAGAUGGUAUUGUCCCAGUUUAUGAGUGGGGAAACUGAGGCAUGGUGAAUGGAUAACAUCUGUGAAUCCUCACUCUGUCCUUUCUUACAACCCCUAAUUCCCUAGACUAGCUGGAAGAGCAGAAAUAGAGAGAUUCUGAAGGAAAAGUAUUUUGUUCAUUCAGCAGUCUGUUUCUCCUUCCUUCUUUUUUUUUUCUGAUUAUUUUCUGUCCCUUGUGCCCUCAGCUCAGCAAAGCUGAUGGUGCAGUUCUAGGGCAUGUGGUUUAUUAGCAAAUUAUUGCUCUCCAGCAGGGGACCCAAACUUUGGUUUUGAUUUAAGAGCAGUAACACCAGUUGAAACUUUUAAAGUAUUAUGUGGAAUCUGGAGAUUUUUAGUCAGCAGAAAGUAAAAGCGUUGACAGAGUUGGGUGGAGUAUCCUCUUGUUGAGUCUCAUGAAAUGAGGGAAGUAUGAGCAGAGAAUGUCCUAGUGAGAGCAACUGCAGACUGCCCAGGAGGAGCAGUUCUGGAGGAGAGGAGUGCAGUGGCAUGGAUUAAUUUAGUGGUGGGAUUGGCAGCUGACUAAAGCUCUCAUUAAAUUGUUAUUAUUUAACAUUAUUUUUAAAUGUAUUUCCCAGGAAGGCAUGGUGCAUUGUAAUAAGUUUACUGGCUAAGGAGUAGCCAAAUAACACAUACUGGAGCAUCCCUUGCUGUGUGUGCAUGUGAGGGUUUCCGAUAUCUAAGGGAGCAGAGACAGUCAUUUUUAAAUGGUAGGAGCUGGUGAAGGUGAUGGUAGUUCUUAAACUGGACUGGAUGGACACCCCACCUCUACUCUGCUGCACUCUGCCAUUAAAUUAACUUGCUGAUAACUGUGGUCAGAGUUGACCUGGGCAAAGCCCUUACUUGGCCCUGAAGCAUCAUGCUGACUGACCUGUAGUGGAUGACAUACUGAUGAGCAGCUGGAAUUAACAUUCCUAACUGGCACAGCUGGAGAUGGAGGAGAACAGUUAUCUUUGCCCUGACCAAAUGCAUUUUCAGCUAACAUGAUUCAAAAAUAUCCAUUUCCCCAUCCAGGCAAACCCAAGCAUUGCCAAACACAGAAGUGCCGUUCCAUGUGCUCUGGAUCAGGUGAUGUGCUUUGGUGCUCCCCUUGGGCUCAGGGGAAGCUGUGCAGGUGCCUCUGGGGAGCUUGGCAUCUCAGCAGCCCUAGCAGAGUUGCCUAAUAACACAGGACUUUGAAAUUGCUAUCUGGUAAAUAAAAGACUUACUUGAGCCUUGUUAUAUGUGUCCUGCUGCCCAGCUCUGCUGUGCUCCUUGCAGUGAGACUAUUCAGCUGACUGGCUAAACUUCUUUUUAUGGUCUGUUUUGUUCCCCGUUUUGCGUCAAGCCUCUUCUCACGUCCUGCUUAUUUAUGAUGCUUGCCUGCCUUUCCUGAGCAGAAGGUGUGAAUUGCUAAUGAGCUCUGGACAGAGCUGAUCCCCAAAGCAACAAUAAUUAGGGAUCACUACCUUUGAUUUUGUUUCCCUUAUCACUGUUUAUGGGAGUGUUUGUGCUCUGAGCCACCUUAGAGCCGCUUAUGUCCAGGCAGCUUAUUCCACCUCAGUACUUUUCCUGGGACUGUGCUGCCUCUCAGUCUCUAGUGUGUUAAGGCUCCCACCACAGAGAGGCUGUGCUGCCUUCCAUCUAGCCAGCCCUGGCCUUCCCUGGAGAACCAGGCACAGCAGGAGUGUUGCGCUAAGUAGCUAAAAAGAGAGGUCAUUGCCAUCUCAGGGCACCAAGGCUGUUUGCUUUCAGGCUAGGCUGUUGUGUUCAUAUUAUCUGAUUAGUCCCACUGUUUCCCUGCUGGCAGCAAGCUUGAAAAAAAGUUUUCCUAAAGAUGUCUAUGCUCUGGUUGCCAGGCAGAAGAGAGGAAUGAUUCCCAGAACUGUUGCCCACGGUAGGAUUCCCUCCUGGGCAAUCCCUUUGCACACAAGUAGAUCAACCCCUCCUAUGCUUAGCCACAGUUACUCCCCUCCACAGGAAGACACAGGAGGAGGGUAGCUGUUAGGAUGCUUGAUGAGGAGACACAAGGAGAUGACCAGUGUUCUUCUGCAUGGGAACAUGUUGCUGCCAAAAUUUGGUGCAAGUGGAAGGUAUGGAGGCAGGGUUGAAUGCUCUCUUGAGCAUACUCUGCAGACCACUGUUGCUGUUGUAGAUUUAGUUGGGUAAAAGAUGGUAGGCAUCAGUGUUUCUUUCCCCUUUUUCCCCCUUUUCACCCUCAGACAGCUGAGGGUGCUUCGUAGGCACAUCCCAUGAACUUCUGCAUCCAUUCACAAUGCUAAAUCAAGACCUUGUCCCUCAGGCUUUGGCCUAGGCCAGUCUGGUUUUUUUCUUCUUAAUUGCCUCAAGAUGCCUUAGAUCACAUCUUUGCUUAUGGACCCACAUGCAAAGAAACUAGAACAGGCUGGAACAGGACCAGAUCCUAGCGGAAAGGUGCUGGCCAGCCACAACUGGCAGCAUCAGGGCUGGCUUGGCUGUGUCUGGCAUUACGAUGUCAUAGUUGCCUGGGGUAUAAUACAGGCUGAUCUGGGAGGUGAAGGGUUUUCUGUGCUGUGAGCUCUACACAGAGCUGGGGCUCCUCCCUUGAUUAGGGCAGGAAGAAGGUGGAGUGGCUGAGCUGCCACCCUUCUCAUCUGCGUGGGAAUGGAUCGGUGUUAGCUGAGGCAGGAAAUGAUGGUGACUGGUGUGAUGUUUUUCAGAUCGAUGGACUGGAGGAGAAGCUGGCACGCUGCAGACAGAGCAUGGAAGAGGUGGAUCUUAAGCUGCGCAGGGAGAAGCUCAGCCCUGAAGGAAGGUAGUGAUGACCACCUCCUUCUACAGAAAGUCACUGGAGAGAGAGAGAAACUUACUAAUGACCAAAGCUGACAACUAUGAGAAAGAACUGAGUGCGCUUCGCAAG